ACCAUUGAGCUCCAUCUUGGGGAACCAUCAGGUGGCUUAUGACCAGAUUCAGAGUAUUCUCCUUUCAAUGGACAUCGAAUAGUUAGAGGGUCAAAGUUUGGGCAUCCAGCAGAGGGAUGCCAUUUAUUCUUUUAUUUGGGUAAGUUUCUCUGAACCCUUUUCUUUUUCAUAUCUUUAGCAGCUAACUUGCUUGUUUUUGUAGCUCACUCACUACAUCACC
rnacentral:lncRNA from 1 species